rnacentral:sRNA from 1 species
GGUGCACUGUGGACGAUGAGUCAGGGCUAGGGGCACCAGGACUUGGGCGUGCAGGACGCCAGGACUUGGGCGUGCGGGACGCCAGAGCUGGGUCAGAGCUCGAGCCAGCGGCGCCCGGAGAGACUCGGAGAUGCAGGCGGCUCGGAUGGCCCCGAGCUUGGGGCGGCAGCUGCUGAGGCUCGGGGUCGGAAGGUCUGUGUGUGACAAGUGGGACGGUGGGCAGCGGCCCUGGGCACCGGGCCAGGACUGAACUCCCACUCCCCACAGCUCGCGGCUCACGGCGCUCCUGGGGCAGCCCCGGCCCGGCCCUGCCCGGCGGCCCUAUGCCGGAGGUGCCGCUCAGCUGGCUCUGGACAAGUCAGAUUCCCACCCCUCUGACGCUCUGACCAGGAAAAAACCGGCCAAGGCGGUAGGUAGCCCCGAGGCCAGGUGGACCUUAGCCAGACCCAACCAGAGCCCUGAAAUUCGCCUCUCUCUGCCCAGGAAUCUAAGUCCUUUGCUGUGGGAAUGUUCAAAGGCCAGCUCACCACAGAUCAGGUGUUCCCAUACCCGUCCGUGCUCAACGAAGAGCAGACACAGUUUCUUAAAGAGCUGGUGGAGCCUGUGUCCCGUUUCUUCGAGGAAGUGAACGAUCCUGCCAAGAAUGACGCUCUGGAGAUGGUGGAGGAGACCACUUGGCAGGGCCUCAAGGAGCUGGGGGCCUUUGGUCUGCAAGUGCCCAGUGAGCUGGGUGGUGUGGGCCUUUGCAACACCCAGUACGCCCGUUUGGUGGAGAUCGUGGGCAUGCAUGACCUUGGCGUGGGCAUUACCCUGGGGGCCCACCAGAGCAUCGGUUUCAAAGGCAUCUUGCUCUUUGGCACAAAGGCCCAGAAAGAAAAAUACCUCCCCAAGCUGGCAUCUGGGGAGACUGUGGCCGCUUUCUGUCUAACUGAGCCCUCAAGCGGGUCAGAUGCAGCCUCCAUCCGAACCUCUGCUGUGCCCAGCCCCUGUGGAAAAUACUAUACCCUCAAUGGAAGCAAGCUUUGGAUCAG